AAAUAAAAAUAAAAAAUAAAAACACAACCUGGAGGCAGAAAUGGACAAGCACACCUUCACUCUGGGAAUGAACAAGUUUGGAGACAUGACAAAUAAAGAGUACAAUGCCUUGCUGACUGUUAAUGCUGCAGAGGAGGAGAAAGCCUGGAUGGGAUCCCCCUCUCUAAGUGGAACUGCAGUCUCUCAGCAGCUCCUGAGACGUGGGACUGGCGUCAAUAUGGAUAUGUGACUCCAGUGAAGAACCAGGUGGGCCCUUGUGAAUACCAGAAUGCAACAAAGGAAGCCUGGUGCAAGGGCUUCAACAGAGUUCCUUCUCUGGAUGAAAAAGUGUUUCGAGACACUUUGUAUGAGGUUGGC